rnacentral:rRNA from 36 species
AAAACUUUUAACAACGGAUCUCUUGGUUCUGGCAUCGAUGAAGAACGCAGCGAAAUGCGAUAAGUAAUGUGAAUUGCAGAAUUCAGUGAAUCAUCGAAUCUUUGAACGCACAUUGCGCCCCCUGGUAUUCCGGGGGGCAUGCCUGUUCGAGCGUCAUU